rnacentral:rRNA from 1 species
GGUUAAGCGACUAAGCGUACACGGUGGAUGCCCUGGCAGUCAGAGGCGAUGAAGGACGUGCUAAUCUGCGAAAAGCGCCGGCGAGGUGAUAUGAACCCUUGACCCGGCGAUGUCCGAAUGGGGAAACCCAGUGCAAUCCGUUGCACUAUCGUUAACUGAAUACAUAGGUUAACGAGGCGAACCGGGGGAACUGAAACAUCUAAGUACCCCGAGGAAAAGAAAUCAACCGAGAUUCCCCCAGUAGCGGCGAGCGAACGGGGAGCAGCCCGGAGUCUGAAUCAGCUUGUGUGUUAGUGGAACGGUCUGGAAAGUCCGACGGUACAGGGUGACAGUCCCGUACACGAAAGCACACAUGCUGUGAACUCGAAGAGUAGGGCGGGACACGUGGUAUCCUGUCUGAAUAUGGGGGGACCAUCCUCCAAGGCUAAAUACUCCUGACUGACCGAUAGUGAACCAGUACCGUGAGGGAAAGGCGAAAAGAACCCCGGCGAGGGGAGUGAAAAAGAACCUGAAACCGUGUACGUACAAGCAGUGGGAGCCUCUUUAUGGGGUGACUGCGUACCUUUUGUAUAAUGGGUCAGCGACUUAUAUUCUGUAGCAAGGUUAACCGUAUAGGGGAGCCGAAGGGAAACCGAGUCUUAACUGGGCGUUAAGUUGCAGGGUAUAGACCCGAAACCCGGUGAUCUAGCCAUGGGCAGGUUGAAGGUUGGGUAACACUAACUGGAGGACCGAACCGACUAAUGUUGAAAAAUUAGCGGAUGACCUGUGGCUGGGGGUGAAAGGCCAAUCAAACCGGGAGAUAGCUGGUUCUCCCCGAAAGCUAUUUAGGUAGCGCCUCGUGAACUCAUCUUCGGGGGUAGAGCACUGUUUCGGCUAGGGGGCCAUCCCGGCUUACCAACCCGAUGCAAACUACGAAUACCGAAGAAUGUUAUCACGGGAGACACACGGCGGGUGCUAACGUCCGUCGUGAAGAGGGAAACAACCCAGACCGCCAGCUAAGGUCCCAAAGUCAUGGUUAAGUGGGAAACGAUGUGGGAAGGCACAGACAGCCAGGAUGUUGGCUUAGAAGCAGCCAUCAUUUAAAGAAAGCGUAAUAGCUCACUGGUCGAGUCGGCCUGCGCGGAAGAUGUAACGGGGCUAAACCAUGCACCGAAGCUGCGGCAGCGACGCUUAUGCGUUGUUGGGUAGGGGAGCGUUCUGUAAGCCGUUGAAGGUGUGCUGUGAGGCAUGCUGGAGGUAUCAGAAGUGCGAAUGCUGACAUAAGUAACGAUAAAGCGGGUGAAAAGCCCGCUCGCCGGAAGACCAAGGGUUCCUGUCCAACGUUAAUCGGGGCAGGGUGAGUCGACCCCUAAGGCGAGGCCGAAAGGCGUAGUCGAUGGGAAACAGGUUAAUAUUCCUGUACUUGGUGUUACUGCGAAGGGGGGACGGAGAAGGCUAUGUCAGCCGGGCGACGGUUGUCCCGGUUUAAGCAUGUAGGCGGAGGUUCCAGGUAAAUCCGGUACCUUUUUAACGCUGAGGUGUGAUGACGAGGCACUACGGUGCUGAAGUGAUAAAUGCCCUGCUUCCAGGAAAAGCCUCUAAGCAUCAGGUAACACGAAAUCGUACCCCAAACCGACACAGGUGGUCAGGUAGAGAAUACCAAGGCGCUUGAGAGAACUCGGGUGAAGGAACUAGGCAAAAUGGUGCCGUAACUUCGGGAGAAGGCACGCUGAUAUGUAGGUGAAGCCCCUGCGGGCGGAGCUGAAAUCAGUCGAAGAUACCAGCUGGCUGCAACUGUUUAUUAAAAACACAGCACUGUGCAAACACGAAAGUGGACGUAUACGGUGUGACGCCUGCCCGGUGCCGGAAGGUUAAUUGAUGGGGUUAGCGGCAACGCGAAGCUCUUGAUCGAAGCCCCGGUAAACGGCGGCCGUAACUAUAACGGUCCUAAGGUAGCGAAAUUCCUUGUCGGGUAAGUUCCGACCUGCACGAAUGGCGUAAUGAUGGCCAGGCUGUCUCCACCCGAGACUCAGUGAAAUUGAACUCGCUGUGAAGAUGCAGUGUACCCGCGGCAAGACGGAAAGACCCCGUGAACCUUUACUAUAGCUUGACACUGAACACUGGUCCUUGAUGUGUAGGAUAGGUGGGAGGCUUUGAAGCGUGGACGCCAGUCUGCGUGGAGCCAACCUUGAAAUACCACCCUUUAAUGGCUGGUGUUCUAACGUAGACCCGUAAUCCGGGUUGCGGACAGUGUCUGGUGGGUAGUUUGACUGGGGCGGUCUCCUCCCAAAGAGUAACGGAGGAGCACGAAGGUUGGCUAAUCCUGGUCGGACAUCAGGAGGUUAGUGCAAUGGCAUAAGCCAGCUUGACUGCGAGCGUGACGGCGCGAGCAGGUGCGAAAGCAGGUCAUAGUGAUCCGGUGGUUCUGAAUGGAAGGGCCAUCGCUCAACGGAUAAAAGGUACUCCGGGGAUAACAGGCUGAUACCGCCCAAGAGUUCAUAUCGACGGCGGUGUUUGGCACCUCGAUGUCGGCUCAUCACAUCCUGGGGCUGAAGUAGGUCCCAAGGGUAUGGCUGUUCGCCAUUUAAAGUGGUACGCGAGCUGGGUUUAGAACGUCGUGAGACAGUUCGGUCCCUAUCUGCCGUGGGCGCUGGAGAAUUGAGGGGGGCUGCUCCUAGUACGAGAGGACCGGAGUGGACGCAUCACUGGUGUUCGGGUUGUCAUGCCAAUGGCACUGCCCGGUAGCUAAAUGCGGAAGAGAUAAGUGCUGAAAGCAUCUAAGCACGAAACUUGCCCCGAGAUGAGUUCUCCCUGAGACUUUAAGUCUCCUGAAGGAACGUUGAAGACGACGACGUUGAUAGGUCGGGUGUGUAAGCGCAGCGAUGCGUUGAGCUAACCGAUACUAAUGAACCGUGAGGCUUAACCUU